GGGGCGGCUCAGUGGUGGGCGCCUAUGAGAGCCUUCCGAAAGGAGGGGUGCUCAGAGAGAAAACAAUACCAAACAAUCUCGAAAUAAACCAGGUAACACAUGCUAUGUAUAUGUGUCUCUUCCUUCCCCUUCUCUCCUGCUCCAGACCGUCGCUCACACGCUGGGUGACUCGGUGUCGUUUUCUCUUCGCCGCUCGAGCGUCUCCUCAGCUUCUAAUCCGAAUUGGAAGCGAGUAGCCGCGAGCGAUCACCCUGGAAAUGUUUCAUUUUGCUUGUUGACAUUGGAGGGAAAAUAAGGAUGCAUAGGGAGUCCCUGGCCCUGUGACGUUUGGGAACAAGUGGAACUCAUGCAGAGGCAUCCAGGUAUUUCCAGAGACUGAAGAGAGAGGUCUGCAGUCCCUUCCUAACAGCAGCAAGAAGCUUAAUCCUGUGUUUGGAGUCAGCACCCGCCUAACUGUCGUUGGGUACCAACGUCCGCCACCUAGAGGAAGAGCUCUGCAGCUCACCCAACGCCAACCCGUUUUCCCGCGGUGACCUCGGGAAUCAAACUUAAUAUUCCUUUGCGAAUCGCUCUCCAAACUAACUCCCCCCUCCCACACCCCCUCACAUCCCCUUCCGCCCUACAACAUCGUCACAAUAUUUUCUUAGUAAUUGCUCUGUGCAAUUGACAGAAGCGCCAAGUCUCCGGCAGCGCGGCGCUCUCCCAGCAAAGCGCCAGAGCGCGUUGGGAAACAGGUCAGGGAAUAUUUGGGUCUGAAGCGAUAAACCAUUUUUAUCCAAAAUUCGUCUAGAGCAGCUUGAAUUCGGGUCUCAUAAAGCAGCGUCUGCUGCCGACACCACCACACUCCAGUGCUUUUUUAGGGCUCUCUUAGAGAAAACAGCCCAGAUUCCUCUGUCGGCCAGUUGCUUACUGCGGGGCUUUUCCAGACUUCUCGUCAGUCCAUGCUCCCCUCCACUCCCAGACACGAAGAUCUGAGAUCCCGGCUCUCUCCAGUCAGUUCGUGGAGCCCAAAGGGUCUUCGCUUUUUCCAAAUGGGUUGCUUGAUGUACUGAGAUAAAGGCAUUAAAGGGGAGACUAGAUUUGGAUAGGUGACCCCUGUGGCCUGGGAGACCAACCCAGGAGAAACCCCUGGUCUUUACACUGAGUCGCUGAGUUUCGAAAAACUUUCACAGUGUGCGGGGAAAUUUGAAGCUGGGCCCGCAGGGACGAGGAGGCCUUUCCGCAUUUUAGUCCCGGUGGAUCCUAUCAGCUUCUUUCGCAGAAAAAGCCGGCCUCACUCCCAGACCUUGCCUGGCUGCUCCGAAGCCAAUCUUGGAGAAAGGAGAUGCUAAGGGAGGGUGAAGGGGCUCUGGAAAGAAAAGUAACGAGGAUGAUCCGCGCCCUCCACGACCGGUUGACAACCGAGCAGCAAGCAGACUGUUGACAUCAGCGCGCGGGUUUUCAGGCAUUUCUACCCGCCCCCCCCCCCAAGCCGGUUCAAAGUUUUGUUUUGUUUUGCGUUCAUGAAUCUGGAACACUGUUGAAGCUGGAAGUUUGGUAGAAAGGCGAGGAAGGAACAAGCAAGUUUAAAUAGUUGGGGGGGGGGGAGGGAAAAAACCUCAUAAAUAAUUGGAAUUCAGUUGGGUUUAAUUUCUUCAGUUUCCCCUUCCUUCUUUUUCUUACUUUAUUUUUAUUUUUUAU